AACGAACGCUGGCGGCAGGCCUAAUACAUGCAAGUCGAACGAACCUUUUAGGUGAGUGGCGCACGGGUGCGUAACACGUGGGAAUUUACACUUCGGUAAGGAACAACACAGAGAAAUUUGUGCUAAUACCUUAUAAUGACUCCGGUCCAAAGAUUUAUCGCCGAAGGAUAAGCCCGCGCUAGAUUAGAUAGUUGGUGAGGUAAAAGCUCACCAAGUCGACGAUCUAUAGCUGGUCUUAGAGGAUGAUCAGCCACACUGGAACUGAGACACGGUCCAGACUCCUACGGGAGGCAGCAGUAAGGAAUAUUGCGCAAUGGGGGAAACCCUGACGCAGCCAUGCCGCGUGAAUGAAGAAGGCCCUAGGGUUGUAAAAUUCUUUCAGAUGCGAAGAUAAUGACGGUACCAUCAGAAGAAGCUCCGGCUAAAUUCG
rnacentral:rRNA from 1 species